CAGUUCGGGCCAAACGGGGAUCUAGGAGGAUUUGCAGCCGUGCGCCCACCAUCUUGAGGACUGGCUAUGCCUCCAUCCACGGGUGCCGGCCCAACAAGAGGCCCAGCCUUUGGUUCCAUUACCAGCAGGUUCGCGAAGGGUCGAGGAGGGUCCGGCACAUGAUCAUCGUCACGAAGCAGCUGAGACCCACACUUGGAAGGCCCCACCUCCGUUGACGAUGCAGCCAGCGGGCCUUGACCGGAGGGGCUCUUGGUGGGGCCCGCCAUGGGGGACGAAGACCGGUCGUUGACGAGGCAAUG
rnacentral:lncRNA from 1 species